rnacentral:tRNA from 1 species
GGCGGUGUAGCUCAGCUGGUUAGAGCGCAGCACUCAUAAUGCUGAGGUCGCUGGUUCAAGUCCAGCCACCGCUACCA